rnacentral:rRNA from 1 species
AAUAUUGGACAAUGGGGGGAACCCUGAUCCAGCCAUGCCGCGUGUGUGAAGAAGGUCUUCGGAUUGUAAAGCACUUUAAGUUGGGAGGAAGAGAUGUAGGCUAAUACUCUGCAAUUUUGACGUUACCAACCGAAAAAGCACCCGCGAACAUCGGGCCAGCAGCCGCGGUAAUACGAAGGGUGCAAGCGUUCAUCGGAAUUAGUGGGCGUAAAGCGCGCGUAGGUGGUUCGUUAAGUUGGAAGUGAAAGCCCCGGGCUUAACCUGGGAAUUGCUUUCAAAACUGACGAGCUAGAGUACGGUAGAGGGUAGUGGAAUUUCCUGUGUAGCGGUGAAAUGCGUAGAUAUAGGAAGGAACACCAGUGGCGAAGGCGACCACCUGGGCUAAUACUGACGCUGAGGUGCGAAAGCGUGGGGAGCAAACAGG